rnacentral:tRNA from 1 species
GCUCCAUGGUGUAAUGGUGAGCACUCUGGACUCUGAAUCCAGUGAUCUGAGUGGGGACCUCAGUGGAAGCU